GGGUUGUGAGGUUAAGCGACUAAGCGUACACGGUGGAUGCCCUGGCAGUCAGAGGCGAUGAAGGACGUGCUAAUCUGCGAAAAGCGUCGGUAAGGUGAUAUGAACCGUUAUAACCGGCGAUGUCCGAAUGGGGAAACCCAGUGCAAUUCGUUGCACUAUCGUUAACUGAAUACAUAGGUUAACGAGGCGAACCGGGGGAACUGAAACAUCUAAGUACCCCGAGGAAAAGAAAUCAACCGAGAUUCCCCCAGUAGCGGCGAGCGAACGGGGAGCAGCCCAGAGUCUGAAUCAGCUUGUGUGUUAGUGGAACGGUCUGGAAAGUCCGACGGUACAGGGUGAUAGUCCCGUACACCAAAAUGCACAGGCUGUGAACUCGAAGAGUAGGGCGGGACACGUGGUAUCCUGUCUGAAUAUGGGGGGACCAUCCUCCAAGGCUAAAUACUCCUGACUGACCGAUAGUGAACCAGUACCGUGAGGGAAAGGCGAAAAGAACCCCGGCGAGGGGAGUGAAAAAGAACCUGAAACCGUGUACGUACAA
rnacentral:rRNA from 1 species